GAUCAUGGCUCAGGAUGAACGCUAGCUACAGGCUUAACACAUGCAAGUCGAGGGGCAGCAUGUCGGUUGCUUGCAACCGAUGAUGGCGACCGGCGCACGGGUGAGUAACGCGUAUCCAACCUACCCUUGUCCAUCGGAUAACCCGUCGAAAGGCGGCCUAACACGAUAUGCGGUUCUCAGCAGGCAUCUAACGAGAACGAAAUGUGAAGGAGAAGGAUGGGGAUGCGU
rnacentral:rRNA from 1 species